rnacentral:rRNA from 1 species
GCUUACGGCCAUACUACCUUCAAUGCGCCCGAUCUCGUCUGAUCUCGGAAGCUAAGCAGGGUGGCCGGUAGUACUUAUGGGACCGCCUGGGAAUACCAGGUGCUGUAAGUU